GCUUACACAUGCAAGUCGUGCGAGAAAGUAUCUUCGGAUAUGAGUAGAGCGGCGGACGGGUGAGUAACGCGUAGGAAUCUACCUAGUAGAAGGGGAUAGCCCGGGGAAACCCGGAUUAAUACCGUAUACCUCCUUCGGGAGAAAGAAGGCCUCUCUUUGAAGCUUUCGCUACUAGAUGAGCCUGCGUAAGAUUAGCUUGUUGGUGAGGUAAAGGCUCACCAAGGCGACGAUCUUUAGCUGGUCUGAGAGGACGAUCAGCCACAUUGGGACUGAGACACGGCCCAGACUCCUACGGGAGGCAGCAGUGGGGAAUAUUGGACAAUGGGCGCAAGCCUGAUCCAGCCAUACCGCGUGUGUGAAGAAGGCCCUAGGGUUGUAAAGCACUUUAAGUUGGGAAGAAAAGUUAUUGGCUAAUACCCAAUGACCGUGACAUUACCAUCAGAAUAAGGACCGGCUAAUUCCGUGCCAGCAGCCGCGGUAAUACGGAAGGUCCAAGCGUUAAUCGGAAUUACUGGGCGUAAAGCGCGCGUAGGUGGUUUAUUAAGUCAGAUGUGAAAGCCCCGGGCUUAACCUGGGAACUGCAUUUGAAACUGGUCAACUAGAGUAUGGUAGAGGAAAGUGGAAUUUCUGGUGUAGCGGUGAAAUGCGUAGAUAUCAGAAGGAACAUCAAUGGCGAAGGCAACUUUCUGGACCAAUACUGACGCUGAGGUACGAAAGCGUGGGUAGCAAACAGGAUUAGAUACCCUGGUAGUCCACGCCGUAAACGAUGAUAACUAGCCGUUGGGGGGGAUUUACCCCUUAGUGGCGAAGCUAACGCGUUAAGUUAUCCGCCUGGGGAGUACGGCCGCAAGGUUAAAACUCAAAGGAAUUGACGGGGACCCGCACAAGCGGUGGAGCAUGUGGUUUAAUUCGAUGCAACGCGAAGAACCUUACCUGGUCUUGACAUCCUGAGAACUUUCUAGAAAUAGAUUGGUGCCUUCGGGACUCAGUGACAGGUGCUGCAUGGCUGUCGUCAGCUCGUGUC
rnacentral:rRNA from 1 species